rnacentral:rRNA from 1 species
ACCCCGAGUGGUCGGGACGUUUAUUGGGCCUAAAGCAUCCGUAGCCGGUUCUACAAGUCUUCCGUUAAAUCCACCUGCUUAACAGAUGGGCUGCGGAAGAUACUAUAGAGCUAGGAGGCGGGAGAGGCAAGCGGUACUCGAUGGGUAGGGGUAAAAUCCGUUGAUCCAUUGAAGACCACCAGUGGCGAAGGCGGCUUGCCAGAACGCGCUCGACGGUGAGGGAUAAAGCUGGGGGAGCAAACCGGAUUAGAUACCCGGGUAGUCCCAGCUGUAAACGAUGCAGACUCGGUGAUGAGUUGGCUUAUUGCACUCAGUGCCGCAGGGAAGCCGUUAAGUUUGCCGCCUGGGGAGUACGGUCGCAAGACUGAAACUUAAAGGAAUUGGCGGGGGAGGACAA